GGGGUAGUCCAGUGCUAAAUUGUCGCAGCCUUGAAAAUAUUCUGCUUCGUUAUUUCGGGCACUCCACAGAUUCUGUUGCGAAGGCAGCCAUCUUUAGUUCGUCUUUCCUAGAGAGUAGUGUGUGAGCUGCAAAGUUGCUUUACAUCUUUGCCAGCAGCUGAUAAGGGUGGGCCAUAAACCCAAUUUGUGUCCCUUGGGCUGGUGAUUCUGCUGGAAAUCCUGAUCAGCUGCUUAGCUUUUCAGCCGCAACUUUGUUAGAGGAUACACUCACCAGCAGUUUUGCCACGAGAGUACACCGAACAAAGGAGACAGGGUCAUUUAUAACCUGAUGCGUCCACCCUACUGCUGUGUCCGGUUUCCAUUGGCUGGAAUGGGACCUCACAUUCUGUAUUUGUCCUGAUUGGCUAGCAACUUAGAACUUUUUAAAAGAGGCAAAAGCAGAGGAAAACAAAGGAAGGAGGAAGUAACUUGUGGAAUGCUGAGAAAGCGUUGAGAAGAUUCUGCUCCAUUUUUUCUGAUUAUGGAUUCUGUUCAGAAGGAAGCCGAAUUUUAAGUCAUCGUUCUAGGAUAGGUAAUAUAUCUUUAUUUCUCAGAAGUUUUCAGUUGGUAUGCAUUUGUUCACUUCACUGAUUUUUUUUUUUGUAUUUCAUAUAGAUAUCUAAUAUGUAGGUUAAUAAUAAAAUAGUUUUAAAAGUCCAAUGCCUAUAUGGUCAAUCUAAAUAUUUCAUUUCUGUAAAUAAAAAUAUAAUUUACUUGAUUGACAGCAACAGCAAAAGCAAAAGAAAAUCAUGGGAUAAAUGUCUAAUUUUUAUUAAAAUGUAUACAUAUCUACGAAUUAUAUCCAAAAUAAUAUAAUUUAAACACAUUCCCAAGAAAAAUAUAAAAAUCGUUUUUAUAAUUGCUCAUUUGUUGUUAAUGUUGGCAUGCAUGAGAAAAUGUGUGAGAAGAAAUUAAAACUAUAAAGAAUAA
rnacentral:lncRNA from 1 species